GAUGAAGAACGCAGCAAAAUGCGAUAAGUAAUGUGAAUUGCAGAAUUCAGUGAAUCAUCGAAUCUUUGAACGCACAUUGCGCCCGCUGGUAUUCCGGCGGGCAUGCCUGUUCGAGCGUCAUUUCAACCCUCAAGCCCCCGGUUUUGGUGUUGGGGAUCGGCUCUGCCCUUCUGGGCGGUGCCGCCCCCGAAAUACAUUGGCGGUCUCGCUGCAGCCUCCAUUGCGUAGUAGCUAACACCUCGCAACUGGAACGCGGCGCGGCCAUGCCGUAAAACCCCAACUUCUGAAUGUUGACCUCGGAUCAGGUAGGAAUACCCGCUGAACUUAAGCAUAUCAAUAAGCGGAGGA
rnacentral:misc_RNA from 1 species